GACGAACGCUGGCGGCGUGCCUAAUACAUGCAAGUCGAGCGAAGUUUUUCUGGUGCUUGCACCGGAAAAACUUAGCGGCGAACGGGUGAGUAACGCGUAAAGAACCUGCCUCAUAGACUGGGACAACUAUUGGAAACGAUAGCUAAUACCGGAUAAUAGCAUUAACUGCAUGGUUGAUGUUUAAAAGUUGGUUUUGCUAACACUAUGAGAUGGCUUUGCGGUGCAUUAGCUAGUUGGUGGGGUAAAGGCCUACCAAGGCGACGAUGCAUAGCCGACCUGAGAGGGUGAUCGGCCACACUGGGACUGAGACACGGCCCAGACUCCUACGGGAGGCAGCAGUAGGGAAUCUUCCGCAAUGGGCGAAAGCCUGACGGAGCAACGCCGCGUGAGUGAAGAAGGAUUUCGGUUCGUAAAGCUCUGUUGUUAGGGAAGAAUGAUUGUGUAGUAACUAUACACAGUAGAGACGGUACCUAACCAGAAAGCCACGGCUAACUACGUG
rnacentral:rRNA from 1 species